rnacentral:misc_RNA from 1 species
AACGAAUUUGAUUUUUGGGUUACGCGGUUGCUAAACAAACUGUAAAAUUGCCGGUGUCGACAAGAAUAAGGUUCAAUCACCGAAAAUGGGGUGAAAGAAUACGGGUCCGAAUCCCGAUGAACCAUUUUAGAUGCACCUCGGGAUGUGAAUCACGAGGGAAGGGCUGAGAGUCAAACCAAUGACUUUUCGAGGCCGUGUAAAGGUUUGCACACAGGACGUUAAAUGGGUUUAGCGGAGCAU